rnacentral:rRNA from 1 species
UACGAAGGGGGGCUAGCGUUGCUCGGAAUCACUGGGCGUAAAGCGCACGUAGGCGGAUCUUUAAGUCAGGGGUGAAAUCCCAAGGCUCAACCUUGGAACUGCCUUUGAUACUGGGGGAUCUCGAGUCCGGAAGAGGUUGGUGGAACUGCGAGUGUAGAGGUGAAAUUCGUAGAUAUUCGCAAGAACACCAGUGGCGAAGGCGGCCAACUGGUCCGGUACUGACGCUGAGGUGCGAAAGCGUGGGGAGCAAACAGG